CAACUCGAUGAAAGGACAGAAAUACCCCCACCUCCUCCGCUAUUCAAUUUGCCUAUAAUACCCUUCACCUCUUUCUCUCCCUCUGGUGUGCUGUGUGGCUUUGAUUUCGGUUCCGAAGGGACAACCAACGACCACCCUCUCUUCUGACUCACUUCUCGAACCUUCCAAACAUGGAACGCAUCGUUGGCGGCAAGUACAAGCUCGGCCGCAAGAUCGGAAGUGGAUCCUUCGGCGAAAUCUACCUCGCGACGCAUAUUGAUACCUUCGAGAUCGUCGCCGUCAAGAUCGAGAAUAGUAAAACAAAACAUCCACAACUGCUUUACGAGGCAAAGCUAUACAAUAUUCUUCAAGGAGGAAGUGGCAUUCCGAACAUAAAAUGGUCUGGCAUAGACGGGGAGGAUAAUGUGCUUGUUAUUGAUUUGCUUGGGCCGAGUCUUGAGGAUCUCUUUGUGUAUUGUGGAAGGAAGUUUUCAUUGAAGACAGUAUUAAUGUUGGCUGAUCAAAUGAUCACUAGAAUAGAAUAUGUGCAUUCUAAAGGAUUUUUACACAGGGAUAUUAAACCUGAUAACUUUCUCAUGGGACUUGGUCGAAAGGCCAACCAGGUUUACAUAAUUGAUUUUGGGCUUGCAAAACGAUAUCGGGAUUCCACUACCAAUCGCCACAUCCCUUACAGGGAGAACAAAAACUUAACGGGUACUGCUCGAUAUGCAAGUUGCAAUACUCAUCUUGGGAUUGAGCAAAGUCGCCGGGAUGAUUUGGAAUCACUAGGAUAUGUACUUCUGUACUUCCUAAGAGGAAGCCUUCCUUGGCAAGGUCUAAAGGCGGCUACAAAGAAACAGAAGUAUGAUAAAAUAUGCCAGAAGAAAUUAUCAACUCCUAUUGAGGUACUAUGCAAAUCUCAUCCUGUAGAGUUUGCUUCGUACUUCCAUUACUGCCACUCUUUGACAUUUGAUCAACGACCUGAUUAUGGUUUCUUGAAGCGCCUAUUUCGGGACCUAUUUGCUCGUGAUGGUUAUGAUUUUGAUUACGUUUUUGAUUGGACCAUUUUGAAGUACCAGCAAUCUCAAAAGAAUGUAAUGCUCCCUCCAUUAUCUCCAGUUCCAGGAGCAAGUAACAGUCGUGCAAUUCCAAUGGAUAUUGACAAUCAUCAAGGUCUUAAUUCAUAUUCAGGGCAUGUUAAAGAGCGUAUUAGAGCUGGUGAUGCUACUGGUUCUGGUGUUAAAAUUCAGUUUAAAUCACCAGUGGGUAAAAAUUUGAGUUAUGAGAAACCACUUGACAAAAAUAUUUUUGGAGAAGCAAAUAUUCCCUCUACUUCAUUUUCUCCUGCUAGUACUUCACAAAGGAACUCCUUGAAGCAAUCCUUGUCUGCUGAAGCUUCCAACCCUGGACAUGCACAAGGCAGUAAAAUUGGCCCUUCAAGUAGCUUGAUGUCAUCUCUGCAGCACAUGUCUUCUGCUAAAUGAUUGCAAAAUAUGCUAUGAAGCUUUGAAGAAGAUUCUGUGCAUUGUUUCCCCUAUUAUUUGGUCAAGAAUAUUCAAGUCAUUAUUAAUUCAUGGAGACUGCAAAUGUGCCAGAAAGUUGACAAAUUGCAUAGCUCCUAUUUUGAGGCCAUUUAGUGUUGCUUCUUUCCUGAGGUGACUACAAAUGCUUGUGCGGUUAUUGAAAGUGUAAGCUAUACUGAAGCAAACAUUAUGGCUGAAAGAUCACUGAAAUUAUGGUCUCUUAUGAGUUAACAAAGGUAGUUCUUGGUGCCAUAUGUUUUAAACUUAUAUGAUUAUGAGGAUGUUGUCCUUUGAAGAAUGUCGUUACCUAAUUAUCAAGAUUUUUGCCUCAUCAUUUGGAACUUCUCAUUUUCUUUUAACUUUUAAGUUGUUGUUGAAAGAAGGGAGAAAAACUACAAUAUCUUGCCACUAUCAAAAUUUGUAAUUUUAUAUAAUUAACAGCUGUUAAAAGAUUGGUGUAGCAUAGUUGGAAUAGUCAGAUAUAAUUAACAGUAGUUGGAAUAAUCAGAUAUUUCUUGCUUCAGAUAGUCUUUCAUUUUUGUCAAUAUUUUUAUGGCUUCAUUUUGGUGUUUUUUUUUAAAUACGACUAUGAUGCUCAAGAAGCUUUGCUAUACUUGUAGGUAGUGCAAAUUUGACACUUUCCCUGGUUGAUUUAUACGGUCCUUGGGAUGAAGUGAACAAUCUAGUUUUAUUUUAGUGUAGUUCAAUGUUGGGAUAAACUGAUGUAUAUAUUUCAUGUUCCUGUGGUAACUGGUAAAUCUAAUUCUGCAAGUGGGCUGCUCAAUUAUCUGUUCAUACUUUUUUACUUUUACAGCAGGACUUCUUUUUCCAAUCAAUAUUGUCUGAAGGAUGAAAUUUUGACAGACUCCAUGAUGCUGCUACUUCUGAUAAAUAAUUCAGCAUAACCAUAUACAAGGUCUGGGUGAGAACGCAUUAAGUAAUAUUGAUACUGCCAGUAUCACUGAGCUGAAGAGUCAAUGUGUUAGGAAAUGUGCCUCAAAAUGGGACAAGCCCUUUAAGGUGUAUAGUCGUAGGCCCAAGACCAAGUUAAUGAGCUGAUGCUUUGUUAUUAUCAUUUACUUAGUUAUUCUAGAAGGGGGUAGAAUGGGCAUUGCUGAGUUGGUUAGAGAAUAGUGGAGAGGGAGAAUUCUGUUAUAAGGGUGGGGAUUGUAACCAUUGAGGAUCAUCCUCGAGAUCACUAGUGAAAAUGGGAGUGCAGAGAUAUUUCUCUCACUAGGGAGGGCUAUAGCUCUCUGGAAACCUCUUCUCUUCUUCCUUUUACUGUUAUUUCCCUUUUUCUGCUGGCACCCUUGAUACAAUACGUAUCACAUUGUGAAUUCACUAGUUAUUGAAAGUAGUCAUUGACUUCAACAGUAGACAAGAGAGCUACCUAGUAAUGGACCUAAUGGUGCUUCAAUUUAAGAACUUGAAUUCUCUUGCUGGCCCAAAUAUGUAAUAAUUAGAUUUGAAUUACUGCUACAGCUGACAAGAUGAGGGAUGAAUUGAUUUGUUUCUGCUUAGUGUUUAGUCCAUGCAAAAAUGUCACCUACCUGUAAAGUUUGUAUAACUUUUAGUGCAGAUAUAGGUUUUCUGUCUAACACCUUCAGUUGUCAGGCCAAAAUUAUGUAUUGUCUGUUUGUCUACUUCAGCUUGAUGGUCCCAAGGACCUUGUAUAUGUGACAGGGUAUUGUAUGGUCCUCUAGUGUUCUGAAACUUCUAAUAAAUGUUUAAGUUUGAUGAGCUUAGAUUUUGUGAUCAAUUUUUUGGGAAAGAGGAAAAAUUUACUCAUUGAAUUUCCAUUGCUUUAGGAUUACUAGGGCUUGGUAACUUGCUUGAAACUAGAGUUUCUUUUAAUAUGAAUGUUGGUUGGUAAAGGUCUAUUGAGGAACAUAUAUCUCUGAUUUAUUUGAUUCUAUCCAUCAUUCUCUGUAGGAUUAUUUUUUUAAUCAAUGGUCAUCUGAGUUUUUUCAGUCUAUCUUGUUUCUUUAUCUUUCCUAUCUUAAUAAGAUUUUGAUAUCAUAAUCUUGAUUUCAAAUCCUUAUUUUAUUAAUUAGGAUAAUUGUUAGAUAUGAUCCUACUAAUUAAGGGUCUCUGUAUUUUUAUUUUAUCAAUUAGGAUAGUUGUUAGUUAUGAUCCUAUUAAUUAAGGAUAUCUUUGUAGGAAAGACCUGAUUAGAAUAUUAAUGAAAAUAUUUUUUCUGAAAGCUUGUAUGUGUUAGUUUAGGAGGGGCUCUGUCAAGGAAGAGUCUAUUUCUUGCUUUCACCAUAGGUGGCAAGAAGGGUUAUUAUGUGUCUAGGCCUGUGACUCAAUCCUACAUGAAGGUUCAUAACAAUGACCUAUUAUCAUUUUGUUUGGUGCUGGUGUAGACUAGUCUCCAAAAAAUAAAAAUAAAAACUCUACAAAGAGGCCACGUAACUGAAGGCAGCUAAUUUUCAUAGCCUGAACAAGAUUUGGUUUUAAUUGAACUAUUUGAGUCUCAUUCUUAAGUAGAUGAUAUGUGGUUCCAAUGAUAAGCAAGACUACCUGUAACUUUAUCAGUAAAUCUGGAGGUAUUUCAUACACUAGCUUUUAUUCUACUUCAGUCUAAUUGCUGAUUUUAUUCCUGACUAAUUUGUAUUUCAUGUUUUCCACUAUUCUCUAGCCACAGACUAACCGUGUCAAAUAGAGUACAUUGAUUGGGUGAAUGGAAACUUUGAACUUGCAGACUCUCUGGAGGUAUUUCAUAUGCCAUCCUUUUCUCUCUACUAGAUUAGAUAACCCCAGCAUUAAAUCUUCCUAAAGAUCUCCCAUGUUUUGGUACAAACAACAAACAAAUUAUGUUGAACUAUAAAAAAGAUUGCAGGGAUUGUGAAAGAUUAUUCCAAGGCAUCCUCCAUUUCCAUGAGGUGAGUGAAUCGAAAUUGUGCUUGAAACACAGGAAAGCCACAUCCUUGAGGUGCACUUUCAGAAUUUGAUUAGUAGAGUGCUUUGCUGGAAUGCCAUCUGGAUACCAGUAGCAUUUAUGUUGAAGAAGGGUGCCAAUGUUUGCGGCCAGAGCUAAAUGUUGUUCAAAUGCAAUUUAUAUUCUGAAAUGCAUAUUGAAAUGUAUGGUUAAAGAUCUUGGCUGUGUAUGCUGAAGAUACCUUUUAAUUUAAGAUUUCAUUGUCUCAAUUACAGGGUUGAGAUGUGUCACAAUUACAGGGGUUUAUGCAAAUUGGUUUUGUUAGACAAUCUUUGA